rnacentral:lncRNA from 1 species
CGUAGGAGUUAUCUUGCUAUGGGUUCGUGGACCCGAGGGAGUUGACUCCUCGUGGGAGUUGCCUCGCAACGGGUUAUAUGACUGAGCAAGUUAUCUCCUCGUGGGAGUUGUCUUGCUGCCGGUUGUAGUACCGAGCGAGUGGAAUCCUCGUAGGAGUUAUCUCGCUAUGGGUUCGUGGACCCGAGGGAGUUGACUCCUCGUGGGAGUUGCCUCGCAACGGGUUAUAUGACUAAGCAAGUUAUCUCCUCGUGGGAGUUG